UGGGGAAUAUUGCACAAUGGAGGAAACUCUUAUGCAGCGACGCCGCGUGAAUGAUGAAGGCCUUCGGGUCGUAAAGCUCUGUCCUCAAGGAAGAUAAUGACGGUACUUGAGGAGGAAGCCCCGGCUAACUACGUGCCAGCAGCCGCGGUAAUACGUAGGGGGCUAGCGUUAUCCGGAAUUACUGGGCGUAAAGGGUGCGUAGGCGGUCUUUCAAGCCAGAAGUGAAAGGCUACGGCUCAACCGUAGUAAGCUUUUGGAACUGUAAGACUUGAGUGCAGGAGAGGAGAGUGGAAUUCCUAGUGUCGCGGUGAAAUGCGUAGAUAUUAGGAGGAACACCAGUAGCGAAGGCGACUUACUGGACUGUAACUGACGCUGAGUCACGAAAGCGUGGGUAGCAAACAGG
rnacentral:rRNA from 2 species